rnacentral:tRNA from 1 species
GAGGAUGUAGUUCAGUGUUAGAGUGCUUGCCUUGCAUGUGCAAGACCCAUGGUUCAAUCCCAACAUCAUUA